CUACGGGACGCUGCAGUGGGGAAUAUUGCACAAUGGAGGAAACUCUGAUGCAGCAACGCCGCGUGGAGGAUGACGCAUUUCGGUGUGUAAACUCCUUUUAUAUGGGAAGAUAAUGACGGUACCAUAUGAAUAAGCACCGGCUAACUCCGUGCCAGCAGCCGCGGUAAUACGGAGGGUGCAAGCGUUACUCGGAAUCACUGGGCGUAAAGCGCGCGCAGGCGGCUAGAUAAGUUGGAAGUGAAAUCCUAUGGCUCAACCAUAGAAUUGCUUCCAAAACUGUUUAGCUAGAGUCUGGGAGGGGAAGAUGGAAUUAGUAGUGUAGGGGUAAAAUCCGUAGAGAUUACUAGGAAUACCAAAAGCGAAGGCGAUCUUCUGGAACAGUACUGACGCUGAGGCGCGAAAGCGUGAGGAGCAAACAGGAUUAGAUACCCCCGUAGUC
rnacentral:rRNA from 1 species